CAGUAAGUAUUUUAAUAAAAAUAUUAGUUUUGGAUACUAAAGAUGAUCUUUUCCUUACUGA
rnacentral:tRNA from 1 species